UAGGGAAUAUUAGUUAAUGUGCGAAAGCGCGAACUAGCAACGCCGCGUGUGCAAUGAAGGUCUUCGGAUCGUAAAGCACUUUUCGAGAAGAUGAGGAAGGACAGUACUCUCGGAAUAAGUCUCGGCUAACUACGUGCCAGCAGCCGCGGUAAAACGUAGGAGGCAAGCGUUAUCCGGAUUUACUGGGCGUAAAGCGCGUGCAGGCGGUUUGGUAAGUUGGAUGUGAAAGCUCCCGGCUCAACUGGGAGAGGUCGUUCAAAACUACCAGACUUGAGGGCGGUAGAGGGAAGUGGAAUUCCGUGUGUAGUGGUGAAAUGCGUAGAUAUACGGAGGAAUACCAGUGGCGAAAGCGGCCUCCUGGCCCAUUUCUGACGCUCAGACGCGAAAGCUAGGGUAGCAAACGG
rnacentral:rRNA from 1 species